rnacentral:miRNA from 10 species
AGGGAGAUCAGGCUUUGGGAAGAAAAUAAUGAGGUUGAUUUCUGUCAGGUUCUAUGUGGAUAUCAGGCAGUCUUACUGUAGAUUCGCACCAAGCU